UAUAAAAAAUGGGGGAAAAAAAUGUAGAAAAUAAAAAAAAAAAAAAAAAAAAAUUCAUAUCCGGAACGUACAACGACACCCUUGAUGCAAAACAUGUUUGCGCGCCUGACGAUGUUAAGACACACGACACACACUUCCCUUGAGAAAAGAUGAUAGCCUUCACGAGUGUCUUACUAUUUCUUUGCAGAGCCCCUCUUCUUGAUGACGACGCGUACACUGUCAGCUACACUUUGCAGUGUGUUACUUAAAUUUUUCUCUAUCUUUGUAUCUCUCCAUUUCAGAUAAAUUGUUAUCUUUCCAAGGGUUGAGAAGAACAUGGUCGUGGUUCAAGUGAAGCCACUACAGCCACUCCCUGACAAGCCUUCCACACCGACAGACAGUGACAGCAGACACACAAGAGACGAUGGUGUGGUGGACAAGAGGAUGCAGGGAGACAGCAGACAGAAUGGAAGCUACAGAUGAAAGAAGAGCAGGUCAAGCCAUGGCAGCAGACACAUAGACAGACAGAUUGGAUAAGAAAGAAGUAUUAUUUAGUGAGACAGGACCACUGGAAGCUGUCAGAGUGCUGUGGCACGUGGCAAGAACCAAGUGUUCAGGAGCACACACUGUCCCUUCACCAGUCAGCAGGUCUGGGCGGCUUGGAAGCCUCACUACAAACUGAAGACCCGUUCACUUGAAGGACACAGUUGGAGUUAUUUUUAAACGAGAGCUUCAGGCAGAAAAUUCGAGUGGAUUUUCAACUCUAAAAAUAACUUUUUUGGGGGGAUAUUUUGAACCUUCUUUAUCUUGAAAAAUAACUCCAGAUAUUAUGACUCUAGCUGGAAGUUGACCUGAGCAAUGUAGGGUUUGCUGCAGUGAGAUUACCAAGGCACGAGUGUCUGGGAUUUAAAGAUGAUGGAUAGGUGUCCUGUGUGCUGCUGUGCUGGGAGGAGAGGAGCAGCAGCAGUCGUGGGGCUCUCCCUCAACAUACUGUGUCUUCCCUCACCUGCAAUGAACAACUAUGAACAAUACUUCUCCUGCGAUGAGGAACAGUGAAUAACACCUCUCUCUCUCUCUCUCUCUCUCUCUCUCUCUCUCUCUCUCUCUCUCUCUCUCUCUCUCUCUCUCUCUCUCUCUCUCUCUCUCUCUCUCUCUCUCUCUCU